rnacentral:rRNA from 1 species
AAGUCGUAACAAGGUCUCCGUUGGUGAACCAGCGGAGGGAUCAUUACAGAGUUGCAAAACUCCCACAAACCAUCGCGAACGUACCCGUAUAUGUUGCUUCGGCGGCCGGCUCCCUCGCGGAGCCUCUCGGCCCCCACGGGCGGACCGCCGGAGCGCAUGCAAACCAAACCAUAUAUCUACGUGGGCCUCUCUGAGUAAUACUAUAAUAAGUAAAAACUUUCAACAACGGAUCUCUUGGUUCUGGCAUCGAUGAAGAACGCAGCGAAAUGCGAUAAGUAAUGUGAAUUGCAGAAUUCAGUGAAUCAUCGAAUCUUUGAACGCACAUUGCGCCCGCCAGUAUUCUGGCGGGCAUGCCUGUCCGAGCGUCAUUUCAACCAUCAAGCCCUGCUUGCGUUGGGGUCCUGCGGCUGCCCGCAGGCCCUUAAAACUAGUGGCGGGCUCGCCUACACUCCGAGCGCAGUAAUACAUCUCGCUCCGGUCGUGUGGCGGGCUCCUGCCGUUAAACACCCCCCUUUCGUAAGGUUGACCUCGGAUCAGGUAGGAAUACCCGCUGAACUUAAGCAUAUCAAUAAGCGGAGGAAAAGAAACCAACAGGGAUUGCCCCAGUAACGGCGAGUGAAGCGGCAACAGCUCAAAUUUGAAAUCUGGCCUCGGCCCGAGUUGUAAUUCGUAGAGGAAGCUUUUGGCGAGGUACCUUCUGAGUCCCCUGGAACGGGGCGCCAUAGAGGGUGAGAGCCCCGUAUAGUGGGAUACCUCUGCCUGUGUAAAGCUCCUUCGACGAGUCGAGUAGUUUGGGAAUGCUGCUCUAAAUGGGAGGUAAAUUUCUUCUAAAGCUAAAUACCGGCCAGAGACCGAUAGCGCACAAGUAGAGUGAUCGAAAGAUGAAAAGCACUUUGAAAAGAGGGUUAAACAGCACGUGAAAUUGUUGAAAGGGAAGCGCUUGUGACCAGACUUGCGCCGGUCGGAUCAUCCGGUGUUCUCGCCGGUGCACUCCGGCCGGCUCAGGCCAGCAUCGGCUCUCGCUGGGGGAUAAAGGCCUGGGGAACGUAGCUCCUCCGGGAGUGUUAAGCCCCGGGCGCAACGCCCUCGCGGGGACCGAGGUUCGCGCAUCUGCAAGGAUGCUGGCGUAAUGGUCACCAGCGACC